UACGGGGGGGGCAAGCGUUGUUCGGAAUUACUGGGCGUAAAGGGCUCGUAGGCGGCCAACUAAGUCGGAUGUGAAAUCCCCAAGCUUAACUUGGGAACUGCAUCCGAUACUGGAUGGCUUGAAUCCGGGAGAGGGAUGCAGAAUUCCAGGUGUAGCGGUGAAAUGCGCAGAUAUCGGGAAGAACACCCGUGGCGAAGGCGGUUCUCUGGGACGGUACUGACGCUGAGACGCGAAAGCGUGGGGAGCGAACAGG
rnacentral:rRNA from 1 species